AAAAAGCAAGAUGCCUAUCUGCUGGGUGCCAGCAUUCAAAUAACACUCAGAGCAAUCUCUGCUGUGCAAUGUAAAUAGACACGGCCUUAAUUUUUUAAUCCCUCGUCCGUACUCUCCAGUACACAAGGCUUUGUUACACAGGAACCUGUCAGCUUUCUCUUUGGACUGUACCAUCCCACCAUCUGCAGAUGGGACUGGGUUGCAUCAAGGCUACCUUUACUCAGGUAUCGCCUAGUGACUCAGACUGUCCUGCUUACUAGACACUCUCUUGUAUGGAAAGUCUUUUCAUGUCCCUAGCUGGAUACAGGCUUUUGUUAACUCAUCCUGUAUGUGUGUUAACUCAGUUGAGAGAAAGAAGGCUAGGGAGGCUGGUGAAAUAAAGACUUGAGAAAUAGUCUAAGGAAAGCACUUGAGCUGAAACAGUGAAGAGAGGUGGUGGCUGGCACAGGGACAGUUAGGACACACUCCAUAGCGGAUACCCAUCUUCAUCCAGAAUCCACUCUUCCUAUGGAGCACUCAGUGCUAGAGGAAAAGGCUGAGAAUUUUCCAUGCGUGGUCACUGCAGUCAGAAGAGCAAACUAACAGUUUUGUGGUGUGUGGGAAUUCCUCCUUUCACUCUAUGGAUCUGCACUGUCAGUGUUCUCACAGAAAUUCACUGUGCCAGAUGAAAGGGAAACUAUUCUCAUACUCCUUGCUGGCUGUGCUAUAUAGGGGAGGGAUCCUUCCCUCCUAUUCAUGUCUUAGACCCCUGUGAGGACCAUAUUCUAGCAUAGAGGCCAGCAGAAAAAUCUGACAUCCCUCAUGGCAGAAAGAAAGGAAAGCUUUUUCCCAACAAAAGGGCUAGUCAUGCCAUUUACCCUCCAACCAACUAAAAAUUUCCCUUAUGCAAAGUUAAGAAGAGGGAACCAGACAAGCAGAAAGACUUCAGGAUUUUUCUUUUCCUUUUCCCACUGCAUAGUUAGAGGAAUAAAAGCAGAUAUCUGUGAAAAGCCACCAUGGACUGAGCCUGCAGUCUGAUAAACAACAAUAACCUUUUUCUUGACACUAAUUCCUUUAUUAUAUUUUUAGAAGAAUUUAAAAGCCACUUAUUUUUGAAAACUAUGAUUUCAGGAAAAAGUAUAAUUUUCACAUUUCCUCUGAUGUGUUGUAUGCCCUGCUGUGUUAUGACAUUUCAAGUUUCAUCAAGUCACAUUAAUUUACAUUCUCACAUGUUUUCUCAGUGGAACCUGCUCUUUGGGUCUAUUUUAUUCAUUGCUUGAUCACUUUAAUGUAUUUGUAUUACUGAAUACUUGGGCCAUAUUAACUGAUCUUUUCAUACCCCAUGCUUGCAAUUCAUUAGCAAUCAUUUCUCUUCUCUGCACGAAGAAAGGAAAAAAGAGAUGAGAGAGAGGGAAAAUGAGAGAAAGACAAAGACUUGGGAAGAAAGUGAACAGCAAUUUAGUACACAGCCUGGGAUGCAGCCUGCUCUGCUGCUUGGGAUUUGGUUAUAUUGGGAAAUUUUCUCUGGUGUGACCAGCACAGAUUGAUGAGCCAGUAGAAACCUGAGUAAUAAAUGCAGUUAACUGGUGUAAGCCAUUCUUUAUUUCAGCUUUUGUAAGCUUGUUCAAAGCAGUGCAAAUACGUUUGUGUUAGAGA